rnacentral:rRNA from 1 species
ACGAACGCUGGCGGCGUGCUUAACACAUGCAAGUCGAACGGAAAGGCCCUGCUUUUGUGGGGUGCUCGCGUGGCGAACGGGUGAGUAACACGUGAGUAGCCUGCCCUUGACUUUGGGAUAACUUCAGGAAACUGGGGCUAAUACCGGAUAGGAGCUCCUGCUGCAUGGUGGGGGUUGGAAAGUUUCGGCGGUUGGGGAUGGACUCGCGGCUUAUCAGCUUGUUGGUGGGGUAGUGGCUUACCAAGGCUUUGACGGGUAGCCGGCCUGAGAGGGUGACCGGCCACAUUGGGACUGAGAUACGGCCCAGACUCCUACGGGAGGCAGCAGUGGGGAAUAUUGCACAAUGGGCGGAAGCCUGAUGCAGCAACGCCGCGUGCGGGAUGACGGCCUUCGGGUUGUAAACCGCUUUCGCCUGUGACGAAGCGUGAGUGACGGUAAUGGGUAAAGAAGCACCGGCUAACUACGUG